rnacentral:SRP_RNA from 13 species
GCGGUGGCCGCAAGGAUGACUAUCACGGUCGCGAUGAUGAUUACCACGACAGUCCCGGAAGGGAUAGCAGGGACGGCG